rnacentral:rRNA from 1 species
AGAGUUUGAUCCUGGCUCAGGACGAACGCUGGCGGCGCGCCUAAUACAUGCAAGUCGAGCGUGAACCGGAGCCUCGGCUCCGGGGAAAGCGGCGAACGGGUGCGUAACACGUGAGCAACCUGCCCCGAAGACCGGGAUAACACCGGGAAACCGGUGCUAAUACCGGAUGCCCUCAUCCGACCGCAUGAUCGGAUGAGGAAAAGGUUUUCCGCUUCGGGAUGGGCUCGCGGCCUAUCAGCUUGUUGGUGGGGUAAUGGCCUACCAAGGCGACGACGGGUAGCUGGUCUGAGAGGACGAUCAGCCACACUGGGACUGAGACACGGCCCAGACUCCUACGGGAGGCAGCAGUAGGGAAUCUUGCGCAAUGGGCGAAAGCCUGACGCAGCGACGCCGCGUGCGGGAUGAAGGCCUUCGGGUUGUAAACCGCUUUCAGCAGGGACGAAAUUGACGGUACCUGCAGAAGAAGGCCCGGCCAACUACGUGCCAGCAGCCGCGGUAAUACGUAGGGGCCUAGCGUUGUCCGGAUUUAUUGGGCGUAAAGAGCUCGUAGGCGGCACGGUUAGUCAGGUGUGAAAUCUCCACGCUCAACGUGGAGGGGUCACCUGAUACUGCCGAGCUUGAGUCCGGUAGGGGAGUGUGGAAUUCCCGGUGUAGCGGUGAAAUGCGCAGAUAUCGGGAGGAACACCCGUAGCGAAGGCGGCACUCUGGGCCGGUACUGACGCUG